rnacentral:rRNA from 1 species
GCCCAGACUCCUACGGGAGGCAGCAGUGAGGAAUAUUGGUCAAUGGGCUUACGCCUGAACCAGCCAAGUCGCGUGAGGGAAGACUGCCCUAUGGGUUGUAAACCUCUUUUGUCAGGGACGAAGGAUGUGACGGUACCUGAUGAAUAAGCUCCGGCUAACUACGUGCCAGCAGCCGCGGUAAUACGUAGGGAGCAAGCGUUAUCCGGAUUUACUGGGUGUAAAGGGCGCGUAGGCGGGAUGGCAAGUCAGAUGUGAAAUCCAGGGGCUCAACCCCUGAACUGCAUUUGAAACUGUCGUUCUUGAGUACUGGAGAGGUUGACGGAAUUCCUAGUGUAGCGGUGAAAUGCGUAGAUAUUAGGAGGAACACCAGUGGCGAAGGCGGUCAACUGGACAGCAACUGACGCUGAGGCGCGAAAGCGUGGGGAGCAAACAGGAUUAGAUACCCGGGUAC